CACGUAGGUGGCGAGCGUUGUCCGGAUUUACUGGGCGUAAAGGGAGCGUAGGCGGACUUUUAAGUGAGAUGUGAAAUACUCGGGCUCAACUUGAGUGCUGCAUUUCAAACUGGAAGUCUAGAGUGCAGGAGAGGAGAAUGGAAUUCCUAGUGUAGCGGUGAAAUGCGUAGAGAUUAGGAAGAACACCAGUGGCGAAGGCGGUUCUCUGGACUGUAACUGACGCUGAGGCUCGAAAGCGUGGGGAGCAAACAGG
rnacentral:rRNA from 1 species